AUACAUGCAAGUCGAACGAGUUCUCGUUGAUGAUCGGUGCUUGCACCGAGAUUCAACAUGGAACGAGUGGCGGACGGGUGAGUAACACGUGGGUAACCUGCCCUUAAGUGGGGGAUAACAUUUGGAAACAGAUGCUAAUACCGCAUAGAUCCAAGAACCGCAUGGUUCUUGGCUGAAAGAUGGCGUAAGCUAUCGCUUUUGGAUGGACCCGCGGCGUAUUAGCUAGUUGGUGAGGUAAUGGCUCACCAAGGCGAUGAUACGUAGCCGAACUGAGAGGUUGAUCGGCCACAUUGGGACUGAGACACGGCCCAAACUCCUACGGGAGGCAGCAGUAGGGAAUCUUCCACAAUGGACGCAAGUCUGAUGGAGCAACGCCGCGUGAGUGAAGAAGGCUUUCGGGUCGUAAAACUCUGUUGUUGGAGAAGAAUGGUCGGCAGAGUAACUGUUGUCGGCGUGACGGUAUCCAACCAGAAAGCCACGGCUAACUACGUGCCAGCAGCCGCGGUAAUACGUAGGUGGCAAGCGUUAUCCGGAUUUAUUGGGCGUAAAGCGAGCGCAGGCGGUUUUUUAAGUCUGAUGUGAAAGCCCUCGGCUUAACCGAGGAAGCGCAUCGGAAACUGGGAAACUUGAGUGCAGAAGAGGACAGUGGAACUCCAUGUGUAGCGGUGAAAUGCGUAGAUAUAUGGAAGAACACCAGUGGCGAAGGCGGCUGUCUGGUCUGUAACUGACGCUGAGGCUCGAA
rnacentral:rRNA from 1 species